rnacentral:sRNA from 1 species
AGCCUAACCCUUAUAAUUUAUAAGGUAUGGUAAUAAAACCCCGUCUAAGGUAUCAAGCUCCUCGUCAGAGCACCUUAGACGGGUCAUGUUGGGAAACUGAUAUGGGUAGCCCGAAAGGGUCUAUC